rnacentral:rRNA from 1 species
UGCCUGCUGGGGCGGUGCUGAUCAGCCAUGCCGCGUGCAGGAUGACGGCCCUAUGGGUUGUAAACUGCUUUUAUACGGGAAGAAACGCACCUACGAGUAGGUGUCUGACGGUACCGUAAGAAUAAGGACCGGCUAACUCCGUGCCAGCAGCCGCGGUAAUACGGAGGGUCCGAGCGUUAUCCGGAAUCAUUGGGUUUAAAGGGUCCGUAGGCGGGCCUGUAAGUCAGGGGUGAAAGUUUGUGGCUCAACCAUAAAAUUGCCUUUGAUACUGCAGGUCUUGAGUCAUGGUGGGGUUGCCGGAACAUGUGGUGUAGCGGUGAAAUGCAUAGAUAUCACAUAGAACACCGAUCGCGAAGGCAGGUGACCAACCAUGUACUGACGCUGAUGGACGAAAGCGUGGGUAGCGAACGGGAUUAGAUACCCCGGUAGUCCACGCCGUAAACGAUGGAUACUAGCUGUGGGGACUUCGGUCUCCGUGGCCAAGCGAAAGUGAUAAGUAUCCCACCUGGGGAGUACGUUCGCAAGAAUGAAACUCAAAGGAAUUGACGGGGGCCCGCACAAGCGGUGGAGCAUGUGGUUUAAUUCGAUGAUACGCGAGGAACCUUACCAGGGCUUAAAUGCAGGCUGCAUGGGGUAGAGAUACCCCUUUCUUCGGACCGCCUGCAAGGUGCUGCAUGGUUGUCGUCAGCUCGUGCCGUGAGGUGUCAGGUUAAGUCCUAUAACGAGCGCAACCCCUACCGUUAGUUGCCAGCAUGUCAAGAUGGGGACUCUAACGGGACUGCCGGUGCAAACCGUGAGGAAGGUGGGGACGACGUCAAAUCAUCACGGCCCUUACGUCCUGGGCUACACACGUGCUACAAUGGCCGGUACAGAGGGAAGCCACCCCGCAAGGGGGCGCGGAUCUACAAAACCGGUCACAGUUCGGAUCGGGGUCUGCAACUCGACCCCGUGAAGCUGGAAUCGCUAGUAAUCGGAUAUCAGCCAUGAUCCGGUGAAUACGUUCCCGGGCCUUGUACACACCGCCCGUCAAGCCAUGGAAGCCGGGGA